CCUACGGGAGGCAGCAGUGAGGAAUAUUGGUCAAUGGACGAGAGUCUGAACCAGCCAAGCAGCGUGAAGGAUGACUGCACUAUGGGUUGUAAACUUCUUUUAUAUGGGAAUAAAAUGUUCCACGUGUGGGAUUUUGUCUGUAACAUAUGAAUAAGGAUCGGCUAACUCCGUGCCAGCAGCCGCGGUAAUACGGAGGAGCCGAGCGUUAUCCGGAUUUAUUGGGGUUAAAGGGAGCGUAGGUGGAUUGUUAAGUCAGUUGUGAAAGUUUGCGGCUCAACCGUAACAUUGCAGUUGAAACUGGCAGUCUUGAGUACAGAAGAGGUGGGCGGAAUUCGUGGUGUAGCGGUGAAAUGCUUAGAUAUCACGAAGAACUCCGAUUGCGAAGGCAGCUCACUGGACUGCAACUGACACUGAGGCUCGAAAGUGUGGGUAUCGAACAGGAUUAGAUACCCCAGUAGUC
rnacentral:rRNA from 1 species